rnacentral:ncRNA from 1 species
GUGUUGGUUGAAAAGUGAGACGGUUGGCAUCUCUCCAGACAAGGACGGGAAUAAGCUUAAGAGCUAACUGUUUGCAAUCUAGCUUUUGUUUUCUUUUU